rnacentral:rRNA from 1 species
GACGUAGGGCGCGAGCGUUGUCCGGAUUUAUUGGGCGUAAAGAGCUCGUAGGCGGCUUGUCGCGUCGAAUGUGAAAUCUCAGGGCUCAACUCUGACAUUGCAUUCGAUACGGGCAGGCUAGAGUUCGGUAGGGGAGACUGGAAUUCCUGGUGUAGCGGUGAAAUGCGCAGAUAUCAGGAGGAACACCGGUGGCGAAGGCGGGUCUCUGGGCCACUACUGACGCUGAGACGCGAAAGCGUGGGGAGCGAACAGG